UAGGGAAUCUUCGGCAAUGGGGGGAACCCUGACCGAGCAACGCCGCGUGAGUGAAGAAGGUUUUCGGAUCGUAAAGCUCUGUUGUUAAGGAAGAACGAGUGUGAGAAUGGAAAGUUCAUGCUGUGACGGUACUUAACCAGAAAGGGACGGCUAACUACGUGCCAGCAGCCGCGGUAAUACGUAGGUCCCGAGCGUUGUCCGGAUUUAUUGGGCGUAAAGCGAGCGCAGGCGGUUAGAAAAGUCUGAAGUGAAAGGCAGUGGCUCAACCAUUGUAGGCUUUGGAAACUGUUUAACUUGAGUGCAGAAGGGGAGAGUGGAAUUCCAUAUGUAGCGGUGAAAUUCGUAGAUAUAUGGAGGAACACCGGUGGCGAAAGCGGCUCUCUGGUCUGUAACUGACGCUGAGGCUCGAAAGCGUGGGGAGCGAACAGG
rnacentral:rRNA from 1 species